UGUCUGUGUUCUGCAAGGCCCUCUGGGUCCUCACCCUCAGCCCUCUCUGGAUCUCUUCUCUGGGCUCUUUCCAAAGUCCCCACCCACAUUCUCAGUCACAUUUACCUUUUAGGAGCCCUUUCCUCUGAGCUUCACCUGUUCUUCCCAGCACCACAGGCUGCUCUGCCUGUCCCCUCAUCCCCACCUGCACCUUGCCCUCUUGCUCACCUGUCUCCUUUGUGUCUGCCCUUCAUCUGCAGGUCUCACAGGCCUGCCAUUGGCCCUGCUCCAGGCUCACCCCACCCUCUUGGUCCCCACUUAGUAAAGGGCCAGAACUGAUUAGUGACUGCUCCAAGGGUAGAUGCGCAGGCGGUUGUGCCCAGAGGGGGCGGUCAGGGGCUGCUGGCAGACCACGGAGUUGCUCAUUGGGUGACUUUUUUGCUCCGCCCACAUAACCCAGCCAAUCAGCCUCAAGAGCAGGAGGAGUGGGAGGUUGAGCGGCUCCUGGGAAGCCUGUGGUGGCAGUUGGGCUCUGAGAGAAUUCCUGUAGAGCUCCAGUGGUGAGGUGUGUGUUCUAAAAAUAAAGUUCGCUUGUGCUUCA